GUCUCAUUUGGGGCCAUUCCAAGAUGGAUCCUGCUCCUCAAGAGCCACCCCCUCCACUGGAUGGUCUUCUGAACAGAUGAUCUCCUUCCUGUCCUCAGGCUGACUAAAGCUGCACCGUUUGCAUCUGUGAAGGCCCCUCAAUCACUAAACCACUGGACUACAAACACAUGACUUCAGAGACGUUGAAACAGCGUGAAUGGAGACACCAAGCAUAAUCCAUCACCAAUGUGGGACGCCACUGAAGAAUGUUGUGCAUAAUUUACGUCUCUGGAGAUAUUGGUGGUUCUGUUCUGGGUGCCCUGACAGGAGAGCUGGGGGUGGAUGAUGGAAUGUUAUUUGGCAUGAGAUGGAAGAUUUUUGAACAUCGAUAGGGUUCUACUGUGUGUGUGUGUGUCCCACUCACACCCGGAACGGGGUUCUACGUGUGUGUCCUGGGUUCUGCGUCCUGCUUGCUUUGACAUUGAUAAUUUUCUUACGGGGGUCUGUGUGAUUGGCUUGGUGUAUUGGAAUGGUCAGUUAAGUCAUACCUGCUGGACGGCCACACGUUUACUUGAGGCCUCCAGGAGACAUGAAGAGCCCUGAGCGACGCUCCGGAGCGAUAUCCAACACACUGGGCAGGAAGGAGAGUAUCCAACUCAAGUGUAAAAGGAUGCAAGCGGCGUGUUCAGAUCAGCGACUUCAAACUAGGACUACACCAAUCAGGAUCAAUGGAGGAUGGACACCUAAAGGCAUUCCAC
ensembl:lncRNA